rnacentral:rRNA from 1 species
CUACGGGUCGCUCCAGUGGGGAAUAUUGCGCAAUGGGCGAAAGCCUGACCGAGCAAUGCCGCGUGAACGAUGAAGGUCUUCGGAUCGUAAAGUUCUGUUAUUAAGGAAGAACACGUAGUCUAGGAAAUGAUUCUACGUUGACGGUACUUAAUCAGAAAGCUCCGGCUAACUACGUGCCAGCAGCCGCGGUAAUACGUAGGGAGCGAGCGUUAUCGGAAUUAUUGGGCGUAAAGCGUGCGUAGGCGGUUUGUUAAGUCAAAUCUGAAAGCCCCCAGCUUAACUGGGGAGGGUGAUUUGAAACUGGCAGACUUGGGUAUGGGAGAGGUUAGUGGAAUUUCAUGUGUAGCGGUGGCAUGCGUAGAUAUAUGAAGGAACACCGGUGGCGAAGGCGGCUAACUGGACCAGAACUGACGCUGAGGAACGAAAGCGUGGGGAGCAAACAGGAUUAGAUACCCGCGUAGUC